rnacentral:rRNA from 1 species
AUUGAACGCUGGCGGCAGGCCUACCACAUGCAAGUCGAGCGAGCGGCGGACGGGUGAGUCAUGUCUGGGAAACUGCCUGAUGGAGGGGGAUAACUACUGGAAACGGUAGCUACUACCGCAUACCAUCAGAUGUGCCCAGAUGGGGUUAGCUAGUAGGUGGGGUAACGGCUCACCUAGGCGACGAUCCCUAGCUGGUCUGAGAGGAUGACCAGCCACACUGGAACGGAGACACGGUCCAGACUCCAACGGGAGGCAGCAGUGGGGAAUAUUGCACAAUGGGCGCAAGCCUGAUAAAGCCAGGCCGGGUGUGGGAAGAAGGCCUUCGGGUUGUAAAGCACUUUCAGCGGGGAGGCGUUACCCGCAGAAGAAGCACCGGCUAACUCCGUGCCAGCAGCCGCGGUAAUAC